rnacentral:pre_miRNA from 1 species
AAAAAAAACAAACCCUGGUUUCCGUGUCCAACAUUUGACCGUCCGUUUUAUUUAAAAAAAUUAUAAAAAAAUAAAAAGACAAGUCACGCAUAAAGUAUUAAUCAUAUUUUAUCAUUUAACAAUAAUAAAAAUACGAAUUAUAAAAAAAUUUCAUAUAAGACGGACAGUUAAAGUUGGACACAAAAUCUUAGGGUUUGUCUUUUU